UACGGGGGGGGUAAGCGUUGUUCGGAAUUACUGGGCGUAAAGGGCUCGUAGGCGGCCAACUAAGUCGGACGUGAAAUCCCUCGGCUUAACCGGGGAACUGCGUCUGAUACUGGAUGGCUUGAGUUCGGGAGAGGGAUGCGGAAUUCCAGGUGUAGCGGUGAAAUGCGUAGAUAUCUGGAGGAACACCGGUGGCGAAGGCGGCAUCCUGGACCGACACUGACACUGAGGAGCGAAAGCCAGGGGAGCAAACGGG
rnacentral:rRNA from 1 species